GACAGAGGUGCCGAGCGUUAGGCGGAAUCACUGGGCUUAAAGCGUGUGUAGGCGGCCCGUUAAGUGUCUUGUGAAAUCCCCCGGCUCAACCGGGGAACGGCUGGGCAUACUGGCGGGCUUGGGUCGCUCAGGGGCAGACGGAACAGGCGGUGGAGCGGUGAAAUGCGUAGAUAUCGCCCGGAACGCCGAAGGUGAAAACAGUCUGCUGGGGGCGCACCGACGCUGAGACACGAAAGCCAGGGGAGCGAACGGG
rnacentral:rRNA from 1 species